GCGAGGCGGGUGGCGCGCGGCAGCAGGGUUGGGCUCUCGCCGUGAGUCGACGAAGGGAGCGCGGGCGCGCGCCCGCGUCCGCGCACUGAGAGUCGCCUCGGCCGCUCGCUUUCUCGACUCCCGCCUCGCGCCUCGAUCCUGUUCCGCCUCCCUCGGCCCUCCUGCCCGCCCCCACUCGUCGGCCCUCAGGUUCCUGGAAAGUGAAAAUUUCAUUUCUUUGUGGACAGGUACCUAAAAUGUCUCAUUAUUCAUCAAUUAAUGAAAAACAAAUGAAAAUUUGAGAGAGAUAUUCUGAAGAAUAAAAGGAUCAAGUUGGGUCAUUUCUAAAAUCUCAGAGACCUAAUAGGAUGGGGUCUUAGAGAAACAUCUUUUGAGCCACAGACUUCUUUGUUACCAGAAGGAAAAUGAAAGAAGAAAUUUAAAUACCACUUGAAGAGAGUUUCCUCAUCAGCAAAGUCAGAAAAAGUAUGUACCUGAAGGACUGAUUGUAAGGCUGGGAUGAGAGAAUCCAUGUGAUCAGCCCUCACCAACAGGUGCUGCCCAGUUCAUGAGUGCUGCUGCUGUCCUGCCCAAGUACCCAGCUUGCAGAGUGCCAGAGUUAGAGUCCCAGGGGUGUUCUCCACAGCUGCAUGCUUGAUCCAGGCCUAUCAGGUGUUAUUUGUUGACGGAACCAGGCAUCAUCAGCAAACAAAACUGACAAAGCUUCCUGCCCUCUGUGGAAGGCAUCUGAGGAAGAGACUGGAUUUUGUAGCAACAUGUUAUUCUCAUUAUAAACUUUAUCAUUGGAAUACUAAAGCCAAAUCAUCCCCCAUCUCCUUGAUCAGGAUACCCACUUAAUCUAGGCAGCUACACAAUUGUGAGAGCCUUUGUUUUUUUCUGCUGAAACAUCCUUAAAAAGAUACCUCACAACCCAAGAUUUGGCUUUUCUUAAAUACGAUUUUUAAUUUUUUUCAUUUCUAUCUAGAGAUUUAAUUGGAAAUGGAAAAUCAUCAAUUUUCCAAUUAAAUGUCUGUUCCAAUCAACAUUAUACCUUUUAGGUUGUCAUUGUCAUUUUUAAGUUUAAGCAACUUUAAGGAUUUUGAAUCUGGCUGCCUGUAAAUUAAAGGUGAAAGUAAUCAUUGUGUUGGAUUGGAACAUUUUGUCAAUUGAGAGUGGUUUCCUUGUUCUUAGUGUAUGAAAAGUUUAUUUUUCUAAUGUAGAUUAAUAAAGGAGAUAAAGAAAAACAAAAUGAGUGAUUUAUGUGUGUGAGAAAAGAACCAUUUCCUCAAGGAUUAAAUAAAAUUCAUACCUUUUGUUUCUUUUGAAAAGUUUUUAAAAUAAAUUUUAAUGAAUGUGUCCUUUAAAUAUUCCUUUAAAAAUGUAUCCUAUUUUAAAAUGGACUCUCUGAGAGAAGGAAUUGAUACCUGUGUUUAAAAUCAAAAAUAGCAUGCAUAGAGACUGUUUUUCUAGUUGGUUGAAGCUUUUUUCCCUCUCCUUUACAUCAGUGAACCAGCAUCUUGCCCUUCAGACCCUACAGCACACUCUUGGGCUCAUGAAGUGUAUGACACAUCCUCCUUGGGGGAUCGGCCAUGUCCUCGCUCUCAUGACCACAUGAAUUCUUCUGUAUGUCUUUUCUCACAGCUGAGUACUCUCUUCCUGACCCCCUUGUGGAAUGGGGAAAGGAGGCUGUGACAUUGUGCUUGUGCAAACAAUAAUUGAGAGCUUUCCGAGUCUCCUGCAUCUUCAUAAAUGAUUUUUUGUUUUAUGCUGGGACAGUAGUUCUUUAAAUAGAAUAUUCUCCCAUGGAAAUCGCCCACAAUGCUGAGAGUACACCUUGCAAAAGGUAAGUCUAGAAUAUAGGGUGCCUCCUCAGCAUUGCCCAGAAGCUGAAGUUAGGACUCUCUAGAAUACCAAAAACAAAUUUAUAGCAGUUCAUUAAUGUAAGGAAUUAUGAAAACUGUGUGCCACCAUUAUCCAUAGAUGAAACAAGAGCCACCACGCAAGCACAGACACAAAGCCCUGAAGAUGAAGCCAUUGACAGGGCUCUCAUUUAUUCUGUAGAAACCCACUUGCCUGUUUUUGAACCAGUUUUCUUUGGAGCAUAUGUCUCACUGUGCAACCAAAGUGGUGUUUAUAUCCUAGUCACUUGGCAAAAAUUCUGUCAUUGCUUCAGGGAGAUCCAUUUUAGGCCUGAAGCAUGGAGCUGGUAAUAGAUGGGAUUUGGUACUUCUGAAGAAAAGACCCUACUGCAAAUUUAGAGAGUUAAUUUUUUCUUUUGUUCCCCAUAAUAUUGUUGCUAGAUAGAACUACCUUUUUUGACUAGAAGUUAAAUAUAGAGGCCUAAAUCAAUUAGGUAACUCCCACUCAUUCUAAAUGAGAACAUGUUUGUUUUUCUCCAACGAGAUGAGAAAUAUUUGAGGCGCUUCCUGAUAUCUCUAUCACCCACUGCAUUUUUUCACUUGAUGUAUAUUUCCCCAUGUAUUUGGGAUAAUUUUCAAAUAAUUGCCCUUUAGAAAUCUACUUGAUAUUAAAUGUAAAAAAAAAGCAAGAUGCAAAAUUAUUAUAGGAUGCAUUUACAGAAAUUACAAAAUUUCUAUAAACUAUUUAUGGAGGAAGACUUAUAGAGUAUAUGUCAACACAUUGCUUUAUUAUUGUCCUUGGUUAUGAGUAUGGUUUUUUUGAAACCUGCUUUGUACUUUGGGUGUUUUCUCACCAUUGGUACAAUUGAGGCAUUUUUCCCUCUUCUUCAACCUUGCAAAUCACACGUGAGGAUGCUCAUAGAAGUGCCUCUCAGACAGGCUGUUGUUUUGCUUUCACCAAUAAAUCAUUUAUAAUUAGAAGUAGAAAACUAUUCUUUCCAGUGCAAAUACAUCCCUUUCAAAAGCAGUUCUCUUUUUGUGAAUGAUGUCUAGUGUCUAAGAAACGAGGGUAACCUUUAUUAUAUGCAUUGCUCUAAUCGAAGCAUUGUUUUUUGCGGUGAACUCAAGGUUACAUGUUUAAGAAAAGCAUCGGGUUAAUUCCAUUAGGAAAAGUGUCUUAUUCAUAAACCUUUAGCCACUGGAAAAACACCAUUAGGAGGCCACACAAGUGUGUAUAGCUGGAUAGAAUUUGACAACUGGCAAAACAAAACAAUAGCCUACAAUUGCAGAGUGCUGUCUGUUUAAAAACCAACAUAUCUUUCACCAACAAAUACAUAUUCACCUCAACACGAGACUUUCAUGUGGUUAUUAAUAUCAAAUUUUUGAAUGUCCAAAUUUUGGAGUGUAGUCUAGCAGAGGUAAACUGAUUUGCCUAAGGUCCUUCAACUGUCAGAGGUAGAAUUAUUUUCUCUCUCCUGGCUCUAAAACCUGUCCAGAUUCUCCUGCAACACUGUCCUUCAAAAACACACUUCCGCUGACUCCAGUGCUGGUGAUGUCAUGCUUUAGCUAGUAGUUAGAGGUGACUUAACUUUAAAUAUGGAAUCUUUUUUUCCUAUUAAGCAAUGAGGUUUAGUUUGAAAAUUCUUAGAGAUGAUAAACCCCUCUCCUUUUUUUCUUCCUUCUCCUCUUUUGUCCUGAACAAUGUUCCAUAUAUAUUACUGCCAGAAACAGAUUCUUGACAUUCCUGUUAUGCUUUUCCACAUCUUGUAAUCAUUUCUACAGCUGUUAGCAUUGCCAACAAUUAUAUUUCCACUUUUAAAAAAUUGUUACAAAGAUGCAGAGAGAAAAGAGGAAAGCCAAGGAAUAAACUACAGGCAAUUAUGGGAUAUUUUUGUGAUGUGACAUUUUGGGAACUGAGGCAGCAUCACUGAUACUGCACUACUUUUUAAUAUCUAGAUUUUAAUCUUUUGUAUGAAGAUAAAAUUCACAUGCCUUAAACCUGACCACAACAUAAUAGGGCAUUUAUUUUUCUAAUUUUGAUACCAUCCACAUUUCUUAACUAUAAGAAGAAUGCUUAUGUUGUACCAGGUUAUAUGAUGUUGCCAAGAAGUAGAUGUGUACCAUUUACUAAUACAUCCUUUUGGAAAAUGCGUAUUAAUAACAUAUUAAGGAGUAAAUUGACGUUGUGCAAAGUGAGCCUGUGAGUUUAAAUGUAUGGAUUGUACACCUUGCUCUUCCUAAUUGCAGAUUUAACAGGAUUUGAUGACCUAAUGAGUUUAUUUCUGAAUGAUUUAUAUUUCUUUGUCAGUUCAAUGAUUUAGUAUUUUAAAUUUUUUUAAAUCACAUUUUAUUGAGAUAAUGCUAUUAGUGUUUCUUUCCCAUCACUUAACAAAGUUAAGUCACUCCUCUCCCACCCCACUUUUGUACCUACCAAUGUUUUUUUCACAGUUACAGGCUGAUUGGCUUGACGUGUCUUAGGAUACCACCCAAAGAGAGCUUCAUUUUAUAAAUACCAAGCUCAUUUUCCUAAAUAUUUUCAAAAAGAUAGAUUUAUCCUCAUAUAGUAAAUUCAGAUUAAUAAUUUUGGAAAGGGUCAUGUGACCAUGGUAUUACAUGGCUGUGGAAGACCCUCCAAGAUCUUGUUUUGGGAUAGAAGGACUCAGACAUCCAAACUUUUAAAUUAAUGAACUUAUUAAAUUCUAAAACUUUGUAACAGUGUUAAUUUGAGAAGUAUAAUAUUUUGCUUAAGGUCUGUUUUGCUUUGCAAAAUGCAUCUCCUUCAUUUUCAUAUUAUGUUGGAAGCUUAGCAUGAAAGAACGUGCCUCAGAGGAAACCAUAGGUAAGCAUACUUUAACAAAAGUUAGUGUCAUCAUGUUUGUGUCUUUGCCUGUGGUUUUUUAAAUGUAUAAUGUUUAACGUUGAUUUGGCUAUCAAAUUACAUUUUCUUUUGUUAAAAAAUUCUGUAAAUUAGAAAUGUACUGAAUCAUUUAUUUAGCAGACUGAAGGUGGGUAAUGUUGGCUGAACAGGUUUAAGCCACAGUAAUUUGAAAAUGUAAAUACAUAAAAUAAUGUCAUUUCUCUUCCACUCAAUGUUUCUUCACCAAAUAAAGUCCAGCCUGCUCUGAAUUUGUUGCCAGUAGGAACAAUGUUACAGUGAAUCAUGGUUUAAUAUACCUUGAAAAUGGCACAUCUGUUCUGUGAUAGCUUACCAAUUUUAGCCUCUUUAUAAAAUACGAAGAGUUUGUCAACCAGAAUAAUCUAGAACCUGGCAAUUCAAAUACCAUUCAAAGCAAAUGUUUUAUCUAAUAACUGGAACUAAAUGUUAGGCCUCAUGACAGUUCAAUAUUUACUAAAUAAGUUUAAUAACAGGGUAAGCCCUCAGUAUCCAGAGCAGAGACAAGCACACCAUAUUUACACAUACAAAUUCUGCCUUUAGCCAUCUGAAAGGGCCCCGAACUAUUGCAGCAAGCAAAGAGUCUUUGCAUUGUCCUAAAAUCCAUACAAUACUUUAUAUUUUACACAUUUUAAUAGCUAGUUUAACAAAUAACAAGUACCAUGCUUAAUUCUCUGCAUGCAUUAUUUCAACUAAUUAUUGGAAUAAUCUUAUAAAGUGGGUACUUUCGUCUCAGCUUACAGGUGAGAAAACAAAAGUUAAAUAGAUCGCCCAGGGCUCUGCUGGAACGUGUUAAGCAGGGAUUUCAGCCUGUCCAGUCAGACCCCAGAAGUUGUGUUCUUAACCAUUAGCAACACAUCAUCCCAGGCAGGCCCUACAUGAGCCUCAUAACCAAUUUUAUGCUGGAUAGUAUUAUCCCUAUUUCACAGAUGGCAAAACUGAGGUCCAGAGACUUUAAGUGACCUACCCAAAAUUACAGUCAUGAGCAGAGGCACUGGAAUGUAGGGCCUUGACACUCUACCUCACGUGGUCCUCUUUCCUGUUUUGGGUAGUUCUCCACUACCACUACUCAUUUCUGAUGCUGGAAAGGCUGUGUUUUAUACAUUUCUGUUUCUGGCUUGGAACGAAACACUCUGGGUCUCUGCUUGAUCAGUGUCCCCUCUAAACUGCACCUCACUACAGUAGGGAUGGCAUAAGAUACUUCUUUACACAGCAUCUUUUUGUUCCCACCUCACCCCCAGAGCUGUAAUAGGUAGAGCCAGCCAAAUGUCAAAGGGAUGAUUUGUCUUGUCACCACUAGUUUCCCUUUUCUCUGCCUUGUAUGUAACAGGAAUAUUCUUUAGUUCCUCCUUAUGUUCUAAAGCACCUCCCCAACCUAAAAAUAGAAGAGGAGUUGUGGGUCAUUUACACUUUAGUGUGAAUUUGCCCUUGUGACUUUGCCAAGGCUGUUGUGCCUAACCCUUUCAAUCUAACAGCAGAAUGAGAGUCUCUGGACUAUCCUGGCUCCUUCCCUGAGAAGAAUGAACUGGGAAUUGUUGGUCUAGACAUCAAGACUACCAGAGACCUAUUGCUCAGAGAUGUUUGGGCUGUACAAUUUCUGUAGAUAUGGCAUCUGGAGCAGCCUUUUCUAAGCAAUGGCAUUAUCAUUCCAGGCUCUCUCGCUCUUUCCAUCUCUCCACCAGGUGGACUCUUGCCCUCCACCCCUUCCAAUUUGUCAGUGAUUCAGAGAACAUUCUCCAUCCUUCCAAUGAUUACAUUCCUUCAUCUUGCUGGGGCGCCAAUUCAGUGAUGGAGCGGCUCUUGGGAGCAGCCUUGGCUUAUAGUGCAGCUCUCUGCUACCUUCAACAGGCUGGUAUUCGGGGUGCUUAGAUGUGACUGGUUGUACGCACGUGUGUGUAUGUGCAUGUGUGUACAGCAGUAAGAGCUUUCGAGGUAGAUACUUGAGGAAGCCUCAGACAUCUAGCCCCAUUACUGGGGCAAUGUCUUACUUGGGUUUUUCCAGAAACAGACCUGGAGACCAGGAUUCAAGUGCCAGUGGUAUAUUUGGGAUGUGAACCCUGCAAUGCUGGUAGGAGAGUGGAGAAGUGAGGCAAGGAAAGGAAGGCCGUCAAGGGGCGUGUUAGGAGGUCAUUCACCACCGCAGGUAGCCCGCUGGGGACCUCUGGGAGCAAGUGUGGCGCACAAGCCUCAGCAUUACUGCCCUGUGCCUUGAGGAGUAAGGGAUAAGGAUUUUCCCCACCAGUUCCCUGUAGUCCUUGGUGAGAGCUUCUGGGGUGGAGGUUAAGGUCUUUAGGUCAGAGAAAUUUUCUUUAGUUUCGGAAAAAUCUUUCAGGCCGAGGUCCAGACACUCACUGGAACACACUGAAGUGGUUAGGUCCAAGGGCUGUAGGCAGAGCUCCCAUAUCCAUCUGCAGAGGUGUUUCAGGUGGAAGGAGUGGAGACAGCCUUCUCUGCUCCACACUGUCUUCAGCAAGGGUUUCUGUAUCUGUGCAUUGAGGAUUAAAUUAUUCACAUGGUCAGAGAAGCCCAUCACCACUGAUAGUUAUUGUAGGUAUGGAAAACUAACGACUAAGAAGGGAGAAAAAUAUACCAAGCAGUUGGCUUGGCUGAACACAAGUAAAGACUCUUACAGUCACUGGUGUGAACUGCUUAUUAUCAAUGUCUGAUUACAGUGCUGCAUACUAAUGAUUAUGCAUGUCAUUAAAUGUGUCAGAUUAACUUUGUUAUAAAAUUUAUGACAACAUUAAAUUUUAUUCACAUGCUCAGCCUUCAUAAUUUAUUGCUUAUGUAGCAUGGUUUUAACUUCAGAAAAACCUCCAAGACAGUGUUGUCUUGAUGACUACACUGCUUAUCCGUGAGUCUAGUUUUCCUGUUCAUUUGAAAUGUUCACAUUACAUUCAGCUCUGUCUCAAGCACUGAGACAGAGCUGGAAUCAGUGCCCAGCGAUUCCACUUGCCGAGUGAUUGA
rnacentral:lncRNA from 1 species